rnacentral:rRNA from 1 species
UGGGGAAUUUUGGACAAUGGGGGAAACCCUGAUCCAGCCAUCCCGCGUGUGCGAUGAAGGCCUUCGGGUUGUAAAGCACUUUUGGCAGGAAAGAAACGUCGUGGGUUAAUACCCCGCGAAACUGACGGUACCUGCAGAAUAAGCACCGGCUAACUACGUGCCAGCAGCCGCGGUAAUACGUAGGGUGCAAGCGUUAAUCGGAAUUACUGGGCGUAAAGCGUGCGCAGGCGGUUCGGAAAGAAAGAUGUGAAAUCCCAGAGCUUAACUUUGGAACUGCAUUUUUAACUACCGGGCUAGAGUGUGUCAGAGGGAGGUGGAAUUCCGCGUGUAGCAGUGAAAUGCGUAGAUAUGCGGAGGAACACCGAUGGCGAAGGCAGCCUCCUGGGAUAACACUGACGCUCAUGCACGAAAGCGUGGGGAGCAAACAGGAUUAGAUACCCUGGUAGUCCACGCCCUAAACGAUGUCAACUAGCUGUUGGGGUCUUCGGACCUUGGUAGCGCAGCUAACGCGUGAAGUUGACCGCCUGGGGGAGUACGGUCGCAAGAUUAAAAACUCAAA